AUGUUAAAGAAUGAAGUGUGGUUCAUUACCUUUCAAAUUCCACUUCAGAAUCUUUUUUUGUCAGUUCUAAACCCAAAGCUUCUACCUAAAAUGAAUUUUGUUUCCCAGAGUAGUGAUGAGAGCAGUGAUGAGCCUGAGAUUGUCAGUAUUGAAGAGAAAGAAGUCAAUACUACAGAAGUAUGCCCAAAAUGUGAAAACCAAUUUCCCAGAGAGGAUAUUGCAUUCCAUGCCAGCUUUUGUGGAGAUGGAUUUCCAGCAGACACCUUGAUGCCAUUACUUGAAGAUGAUGCCAGAGAGGGGACUUCAAGCACAAUUGAUCUCUUGCCUCAUGGUUCCAGGACUACAGAACAAAGCACCAGUCCCACUGGUGUAGUCAAUGACAUGGCCGGACCAUAACCUGCAUCUUUAGCUUCUGUUUGAUGUUAAUUGCUUGUAAUCAUGCUGAUUAAUACACUCAAAUACAUAGUAAUCAGGCUCUAUACAUUUUUAAUAUCACACUGAAAUGUAUUUGACUGUUUAAUGUUUAUGUUUUUUGUUUGUGUAUUUAUUUUAUAUUUCAUAAAAUGGAAGCGAAUCAUGAACGCUUCAAGUACAGCAACACUGUUCAGAAGAGUUAUCUUGAGGGAGCAAAAGCUGGAGAUACCUCUUCGCUUCUCAAUGGACCUACAUUCUGAUGUUGAAGAGAGAGAUAAGGCAGUAAUAGCAUUCUACAAGACUCAGAGAACUAAAUGGCCCUCCCCACUUCACUGUGUGCUGGAAGGUGAUGCUGCCAUCGGUGAUGGUGUAAGUCGGUAUUUCAUCAGCUUUGCUAUGCAGACCUUGCAGUCUGGAUUCCACAUCAAUUUUGGCAAUGCUGAUGUGACUAGGCUGUUUGAGGGACAGAAGGAUCACCUCAUCCCAUGUGCCUCCCAGCCACUCAUUGAUUCUGACCUUUUUCUGAUGGCAGGUAGAAUGGUGGGACAUUCAUUUAUACAUGGUAGCCCGGGAUUGCCAGGGAUCAGUCCUGCUGUAGUCCAUGUGCUCUUAGGGGGCCAAUUAGAGAUAGCAACAUUGGUAUUGGAGGAUUGCCCUGAUAUCGAUCGAAGGAACACAAACCAGUUGCUGGAUGGCAACGGGGAGCUAUCUGUCUACAGGGAGCUAGAAAGCGGCUGUCAAUAG
ensembl:lncRNA